rnacentral:lncRNA from 1 species
AAGAGUGUUUCAGCAAGGAGUGAAAGCGUAUUUAUUGUGUUCGAAAGUAAAAUUUCUUUACCUGUAGUUUUUCUUCCUUCUUUGUCCUGUAGUUUUUCAUCCCGUGGAUGUGUGAUAAGCUAUUAAGACUUAUUUUUAGCAUUUUAAGAUACUGUGUUCAGUACAGUUUUUUCUCCUAAACUUCUACUCUUAAGUGUACUGUAAUCUUUGAGUUAUAAUGAAUCUCAUUUAAAAUGGUAACGUGAGGUUAAUUGUAACAAAGUACGUGGGGACGAUUGUAACACGUUACAAAUGACCACGCCGUAUAAAAUAUAUUUUCUCUUCUCCUAAAGUUAAAAUACAUUGACGACAUACUAAAUUUUAAUUGCAUUCUCUCCAGAAAUAGUGCACCCUUCACCUAAGGCAAACGUCAUCAACACAUCUAACUUGUAAGCACCCAGAAGAAGGAGAGAAAAAAAGCUCUAUUUUAAUCAGUACGCCAGAAAGACUGGCACUGGAAGAAAAAGCGAAAAAGAGAAUGAAUGUCGGAAAGAAAAGUCAUCCUAAGGCGGGCGGAAACGAAACUGUAAACAACAGACUAAUUUAGAAAAUGAUAGUGAAGAUUCAGAAGAGGAAUCUUUCUGUCUUGUCUGUUUGGAUAAUUAUAACAAUAUUCGUCCCGGGGAACAAUGCAUAUUAUGUGUAAUGUGUAGAAAAUGGGCACAUAUUCGUUGUACGAAAGCACAAACAACAUAUUAUGAAUGCAUGAAUUAUGAAUUGUGAAUGAAUGCAUAAAUUGUUGAUACAUUCAUUCAUAAUUCAUGCAAACAAAUCACUGGUUUGGGACCGAUUGAUCUAAGCAUCAGUCUUGAUGCUUAGAUCAAUCGGCCUUGGAUUGGUGAUUUGUUUUGAAUAAAUAAAGAUAUACUAAUUUUUUCUUUUGUAUUAAAUUUGCUUAAGGAUUUGUUUUAAUAAAGGUAUUUUAAGUAAUUAGUUGAAAAGAAUAACUAUUAUUUACGACGACUGUUACAAUUGACCCCUGCGUAUGUUUCAAUUCUCCCCGUGAAUGGGGUCAAAUGUAACAAUACACAUUAUCUCGAAUAUGUAAAAUAUUGUCUAACACAUUUUUCAUUUGACUAUAAUAAAUAUCUGUCCUUGAAUGUCAAAGCAAGUCCUAAAAAUAUUUUGAAAUUUUAUACUCGCACACUGAAGAUGUUAUCCAUAAAAAUGUAGCCUACAUUUUUUUUAUAUUUGACCCUAGUCUCCCCUACCUGUUUCCGUACGCUGUUUAAUCGCAGAUUUAUCCCUACUAGUCAAGAAUUUCUAUUCUGAUAGGAAUGAUUACGACUUACUAUCUCGAAAAUUUGCUGAAAAAUUCUGUUCUGUAACGAAUCGACGUCGACUUUCUGAUGUGCACGGUGGCUGAUAAAAUAAGUUCUGAUCCCAUUCAUUACCUGGUGGUAUGCUAAAUCUCCGAGGCAGCGAGAACAUCGGUGCAAACCUUGGUCUCUAGCAUUCAGUUACUUGCGGAUGAGAUUUUGAAUUCCAAUUAAAUAAAGUUCUAUUCUGUGAUAACCUAAUAGCGAAACGCGACUGACUAUAAACCUAUAUUCUCGAAAUUUGUACGCCAUACGUGGUUUGUAUCGUGGUGUAUCUUGUUUCCCUGUUGCUACUAUUUGUUAUGAGGUAGUCGCUGUUUGUGAGUUCAUCCUUUUUCCAUUUUGGGUUCUAAUUUAUCAAGACUAUUAGUAAUUUGUUUUAUUGAAUGUUUGUAACUCAUCUGCAUUAUUUACACGCGCUCUAUGCGCCUAACUCAUCUACACCGGCAUUCGCUUUGUUAAUUUCCCUUAUCAUUCCAACAAAUGAUCGAGAUUUACCGGCAGCUUGUUCUGUGCGCGUUGCUACUAACAGCGCUUCUUUAAAUGUUUUUGGAUGGUGGGACAUGACAACUCGUUUAAUUCUUUUGUAAAUUUAAAAAUUGUAUACCUAAUCAUUCCUUGUUUUGUCAUCGCUCAACUACAUUUUUUUCCUGUUCCGUGACGCUUUCUACAUCAAUUGUGGUUUCGACGGCGAGUGUUUGCAACCUCACAUCAUAAGUUUGAACAUCUUCCCCCUUUUUUGAAAACAGUUAUGAAUUUUUGUAGUCUGAUUGUGUAAGGCUACUUGGCAAACGAUCUGAAUUCCUUAUAAUCAGUUACGCCUUUAAUCCCCAAAUCAUGCCAAGCAUAAUCUCGCAUAAUUCCCAUUAAUUUACACUUCGCCACUACUAAUUUUUAUUUGUCUGAUCACAACGCUAAUUCGUCAAUAAUAUCAAAACAAUCAGUUAUACGUAAAGUCGGCUCACCUCCAAAGCUUUGAAACAUUGGAGCGAAAGCGGAGAAACAUCCAGGAGCUGUCUCACGGGUCACUAUAUCAGGAAGAUUUUCGCUGGCCAUUUUGAAGUUUUAUAGGUGCCACAGCUAUAAUUCGUCCCAAUUUGGUUCCAACUAAACUUCUUGAUCCCACUUCUGACACCAGUUAUGGAUUUCGCCCGGACUACAUGUACAGGUAACUAGGCCUAUCGCGGUCGUAUGUGGCAGGCGCGCGUAAGUCCAAAUCCAAGAGGGAAUCCUUUGAUACAGUGACUGACAGCGACAAUUGUUUAAUCAAACCAUAGAUCUUUUAUUGAGAGAGAUUUUGCAUAAGCAUUUUCGGAGGAUAAAUAUCUUUUCUUUCUG